rnacentral:rRNA from 1 species
GACGAACGCUAGCGGCGUGCCUAAGCUAUGCAAGUCGAGCGGGGUUUCAGCGUUGAGUUUUCUUCGGGAAACAAAGUGCUGCGACCUAGCGGCGAACGGGUGAGUAACACGUGAAUAACCUACCCCGCUGACCGGGAUAAUCCACCGAAAGGUGGGCUAAUACCGGAAUGAGGCCUCUUCGCAUGUCGAGGCCUGGAAAGGGGCAACCCACAGCGGGAGGGGUUCGCGGCCUAUCAGCUUGUUGGUGAGGUAAUGGCUCACCAAGGCGACGACGGGUAGCCGACCUGAGAGGGUGACCGGCCACACUGGGACUGAGAUACGGCCCAGACUCCUACGGGAGGCAGCAAGCGGGAAUAUUGUGCAAUGGGCGAAAGCCUGACACAGCGACGCCGCGUGAGGGAUGAAGGCCCUAGGGUCGUAAACCUCUGUUGUCGGGGACGAAGAUCUGACGGUACCCGACGAGGAAGCUCCGGCUAACUCUGUGCCAGCAGCCGCGGUAAGACGGAGGGAGCAAGCGUUGUCCGGAUUUAUUGGGCGUGAAGCGCGCGUAGGCGGUCCGCUAAGUCGGCUGUGAAAGUGCUGGGCUCAACUCAGCAAUGUCAGUCGAUACUGGCGGACUCGAGUCCGAUAGAGGGAAGUGGAAUUGCUGGUGUAGCGGUGGAAUGCGUAGAUAUCAGCAAGAACACCAGUGGCGAAGGCGGCUUCCUGGAUCGGUACUGACGCUGAGGUGCGAAAGCUAGGGGAGCGAACCGGAUUAGAUACCCGGGUAGUCCUAGCCGUAAACGAUGGUCACUAGGUGUUGGGGGUAUCGACCCCCUCAGUGCCGAAGCUAACGCAUUAAGUGACCCGCCUGGGGAGACGGCCGCAAGGCU